rnacentral:rRNA from 1 species
UUAAUUGAAGAGUUUGAUCAUGGCUCAGAUUGAACGCUGGCGGCAGGCCUAACACAUGCAAGUCGAGCGGUAACAGAGAGGUGCUUGCACCUUUGCUGACGAGCGGCGGACGGGUGAGUAAUGCUUGGGAAUAUGCCUUUUGGUGGGGGACAACAGUUGGAAACGACUGCUAAUACCGCAUGAUGUCUACGGACCAAAGUGGGGGACCUUCGGGCCUCACGCCAAGAGAUUAGCCCAAGUGGGAUUAGCUAGUUGGUAAGGUAAUGGCUUACCAAGGCGACGAUCCCUAGCUGGUUUGAGAGGAUGAUCAGCCACACUGGGACUGAGACACGGCCCAGACUCCUACGGGAGGCAGCAGUGGGGAAUAUUGCACAAUGGGCGCAAGCCUGAUGCAGCCAUGCCGCGUGUGUGAAGA